rnacentral:rRNA from 1 species
AUUGAACGCUGGCGGCAGGCUUAACACAUGCAAGUCGAGCGGAGAUGAGGUGCUUGCACCUUAUCUUAGCGGCGGACGGGUGAGUAAUGCUUAGGAAUCUGCCUAUUAGUGGGGGACAACAUUCCGAAAGGAAUGCUAAUACCGCAUACGCCCUACGGGGGAAAGCAGGGGAUCUUCGGACCUUGCGCUAAUAGAUGAGCCUAAGUCGGAUUAGCUAGUUGGGGGGGUAAAGGCCUACCAAGGCGACGAUCUGUAGAGGUUCUGAGAGGAUGAUCCGCCCCACUGGGGCCGAGACACGGCCCAGAGUCGUACGGGAGGCAGCAGUGGGAAAUAUUGGACAAUGGGCGGAAGCCUGAUCCAGACAUGCGUCGUGUGUGAAGAAGGCCUUUUGGUUGUAAAGCACUUUAUGCGAGGAGGAGGCUACCUGGAUUAAUACUCUUGGAUAGUGGACGUUACUCGCAGAAUAAGCACCGGCUAACUCUGUGCCAGCCGCCGCCGUAACAC